rnacentral:ncRNA from 2 species
CUAGUAAUCAUCACCGAUGGUUUCUCUGGCCAGACAAUGCCGGAGAUUAAAAGGGAACACGGUGAGGCGUACCCAAAAGGGACCGAAACCGUGGCUGCCCCCGCAACUGUAAGCGGCGAGCGACGCCUGACUACGCCACUGAUCGCAGGAUCGGGAAGGCAAGGCAACGCUGAGACCCGCAAGCCAGGAGACCUGCCAUCAAAAUUGAAAUUCG